AUUGAACGCUGGCGGCAUGCCUUACACAUGCAAGUCGAACGGCAGCACGGGAGCAAUCCUGGUGGCGAGUGGCGAACGGGUGAGUAAUAUAUCGGAACGUGCCCAGUCGUGGGGAUAACGUAGCGAAAGCUACGCUAAUACCGCAUACGAUCUAUGGAUGAAAGCGGGGGAUCGCAAGACCUCGCGCGAUUGGAGCGGCCGAUAUCAGAUUAGGUAGUUGGUGAGGUAAAGGCUCACCAAGCCGACGAUCUGUAGCUGGUCUGAGAGGACGACCAGCCACACUGGGACUGAGACACGGCCCAGACUCCUACGGGAGGCAGCAGUGGGGAAUUUUGGACAAUGGGCGCGAAGCCUGAUCCAGCAAUGCCGCGUGCAGGAUGGAAGG
rnacentral:rRNA from 1 species